AAUCAACCUGUCCAGUAUCACCAAGGAAUUUUGGAAGAUGACAGAACUGUUCUACAUUAUGACUGUGACAGUGACCACCCCACUGUAUGCAGUUACCAUAACUCGCAGAACUGUACGCCAAGAGGAGUACAGUUUACUGCGUGCAGAUAAACUAGCCUGAAAGGAUGGAACCCCAAAGCCCUUUAUGAGCACUAUACAUCUUGUCCACGGCCAUGUGGCUUGUCAGCCUUCUUGCCGGAGGAAUACACAUCUCAUAUCCAGCAAAAAUGCGUCUGGUCAUGUGACUUGCUUUGGCCAACGGCAUGUGAGCAGAAGCUUUACAAGGUGUUGUGAGUCCCUAAUGUCGUCUUGCUCUUUUCCUGCUGCUAUGAGCCUAGCAUGUCCCCGAUGGGGGCAGCUUCUUCAUUCUGGGUCCUGGACUGAGAAGAUUCAUGGAGCAAUACCACAGGAACCGUCACAGCUGACCUUUGCAAUUGAAGAACAAGUAGCUGCCGCAGGAUGUGAGGCAGGCGCGGCCCACGAGGAACUGGUCACGAUCGGAUGCUUUUGAAAUUCAGCACAGUGAAAGAAAACCCGUGGAGUUAAGCCCGUAGAUUUUGAGGUCUUGGAAGCAAAGGAGAGUUCGGGUGACUACAGCAUGCAGCCAUGAAAAGAAUGAAAUAAUGCCACCCGCAGCAACAUGGAUGGGAUCUAGAGUUUAUCAUACGAAGUGAAGUAUGUCAGCUGCUCAUUUUCAAAUCUGAUGCUCACUCUGACUUUGUUUUUUAUUUAAAAAUAAAGGAAUUGAG
ensembl:lncRNA